GUGGGGAAUAUUGGGCAAUGGGGGCAACCCUGACCCAGCGACGCCGCGUGAGGGAAGAAGGCCUUCGGGUUGUAAACCUCUGUCCUUGGUGACGAAAAAAAUGACGGUAGCCAAGGAGGAAGCCCCGGCUAACUCCGUGCCAGCAGCCGCGGUAAGACGGAGGGGGCAAGCGGUGUUCGGAAUUAUUGGGCGUAAAGGGCUCGUAGGCGGAUCUGUAAGUCUGGCGUGAAAUCUCCACCGCUUAACGGGGAGCUGCCGCUGGAUACUGCAGAUCUGGAGUUCGGUAGAGGAUCGUGGAAUUUCGGGUGUAGCGGUGGAAUGCGUAGAUAUCCGAAAGAACACAAGUGGCGAAGGCGACGAUCUGGGCCUGAACUGACGCUGAGGAGCGAAAGCUAGGGGAGCAAACGGGAUUAGAUACCCGUGUAGUCC
rnacentral:rRNA from 1 species